rnacentral:guide_RNA from 1 species
AUAUAUAAACACAACAUAAAUCUGUAUUAGAUAGAGAAUGAGAAUUUAAU